UCUCUCUCUCUCUCUGUAAGUAUAUUCAGAGAAGGAUGUCGCUCCAAUUCGACAAUGAGAUAAACAAAAAUGAGCAUAAAGAAACCCUGCAUGUUGAAGAGAAACGUGUAUUGGUGCACGUCAUGAUGGUCGCGUCAUCGUCGACAUGGGCGCGGCCAGAAGAAAAGCGAGCAGACAGAAAGAAAAGGAAAGGAGCGGAGAAGCGACAGUGGAGAAAGAGGGAAGCAAAUGCGAAAGGAAGAGAGGAGAAAACAUCUCUGCCUAUCGUUGCGGCUAGGAACUCGAAGAGAGGGUUGCUAGGAGAGUGAGGGAAACUGCGAAACGAAGACGAAGAGGAGAGUUUCCUGCUAACACCCGGUUUGUUGCCACUGUGCAGUGGCGCCCUCCGCUAUCCGGCAAGAACCAUGCCAUUCCUCCCACACUUUUUCCGCGGAUCUAUCUCCCAAUCGGUUGUGUCUACCAGUCGUCGACUGCGAAUGUCAGGAGACGAGACUUUGGUGCUGCCAUCGCGGCCGCCUUCGUUGUUUUCCCUGGUGAAACCGAUGUUCAUCGAACUUCGGCUCGGUGAUGUAGUAAAUUAUCUUGUCACGGAUAAUUUGAGGAUAAUACUGGGUUGAGUGUUAAUAGGCUCCGCGCACAAUCGAGGAAUGUAAGAUAUUAGAAAUUAGAACUUUAGAAUCAGUUUCCUCAAUGAAGACUAGAAAUAAAUAAUAAAUUGUGUCUUGUGCGACACACUUACGCCUUACAGCUUAUUCGUAUCCGCCGUGCGUCACGUUUAAUGUUCAUUGAGGAAAUUGGUUUUAAAAUUCUAAUUUAUUCCUAUUCCUAUUAUCUAAUAUUCCUUCAUUGUGCCUAAAGCCUACGUAGAUCUAAGUAACAAUGAUAACCACUUGAUACACAAAUAGAAUUGCGGAAAGUGUAUCAGUAUCAUUUAAAAGGAACGGAGAAACAGUAAAUUUUUGUUUUUGCUUCAUUAGACAGCUUAGAGUUCAAUUGUUACUCGAACUUGUCGUCGGCAUCUUGUUAUUAAGAAAUGAUUAUGUUGUGCAUUUAUUGAACUGUGAAAUUUGCACUGCGAUAAAUUUCUCAGGAAACUUCAGUCUCUGCUAAAAAGAAAACCAGCGUUCGGCACACGGUAUCAUUUUUUAAUAACAAGAUAUCGACGACAUGCUAGGGCACGACGACAAGAAUUGAAUUCUAAGCUGCCUAAUGAAGUAGAAACAAAAGUUUGUUGUUUUCUUUUCGUUCCUUUUGAUUUUAAACGAUACUAAUACUUUUCUCGCAAUUUUAUUUUUAUAUAUAAAGUGGGUAUCAUUAUUACUUAUCCUUAAAAAAUGAUCAUGCAAGUGGAGUCAAUUCUUUGGCUGUACAAAAUUAAUUUAAAUUAAUUUAGAUAAAUAAACAGCAAAUAUAAUAUUGCAAAUGGUUGGUACUUAACUAUUCUAAAUAACAGAUAGAAUUUGUAUAUAUAUAAUUAAUUUAAAUGGUUUAUGAAAUUUAGAAAGUUUUUCUAACGUCUAUUUAUGUUAAGGUCAACUGUAUGUAUAUGUUAUAAAAUUUGACGAUAUAAUUGGCAAUAAGAUUUAAAUUUUUUAGAAAGCAUUAUUAAAUAUUGCUGCUAUAAAUUCUAUAUGUGACAAACAAUAUUUUAACAGAUGCAGAAAAUAAAGAUAAAAUUUUGUUGUGACACCUAGAAAUCUACUUAUAUCAACAAAACGUUUUUUAAAUGUAGAUGGAUUAACAAAGAAAUGAAUUUUGAACUCCGUAAAAUAUCAAAUACUAAUUAAAAUAUAAUUUAAAUUGUAAAGGCCCACAAAAAAGUAACUUUAAAAGUAGAUGAAAAUAAAAGAAGAACUUAAUACAUUUAAUUUAACAUCCGUUUCAACUGUCUGAAUAUAUUUAUAUCAUCUUAAAUUUAAAUUGUGUUCGACUUCAACCUGUUGUAUGAACAAUAUUAUUUAUUAUUUCAAAUAAAAAGUUUUUAAAAAUUGAUAUUCCAACUGGGAAAGAAUACAAAUUUUUAUUAAAGAUAAAUCUGUCCGCCAUUUUUUGUCAAAAUUCUCCAAUUACAAACUUGCAAACAGUAAAUGGCCUGCGGCGCGUUCGCGGCGGGAUUCGCAAAAUGUGUUAGCUCGAAAUCAGCUCGGUAGCGAGGCCGGUUUUUUAAAUUAAAAUGUAUAGAAACUUUAAGCAUCGACUGCGCGCACGCCGGGGUAUAACACAUGUCGCGAUCGUCGUCCAUAUUAAUCCCAAUUAAGGCAAGGAUACCGAAGAACAGGUUAAAGGCUCCUCCUCUUCACGAAUCUACGGGGAUACGGCGAUAUAAUAAAAUCGUAAAAUGACGGUACUGACCGUGUGCUUGGCGAUAUUAUCCGGUCGCGAUGGUAAGGGAGCCGGCCAUGAGGGAGAUGGUCCUCCACACGUGAAGCAUAAAAUACCCAGUUAAAUGCGCCGAACGAAUACGAAAAAAUCUAAUAUGAAAAACCCCGUACCACUUAGGAAAGACGACGAGUUCGAGUUUAUGCCGCGGACGCCGGCCGACCAAUCGGAGCAUGGGGAUUUUGCGGGACGAGUAAAUAAAUUGGACGGGUCGCGGCGAGCUUCCUGGAAUCCGGGAGACAUCUUUUGUGUGUAUGCUCUCGAAACGUAGCAGAAGGAUCUACGUAACGAACAAUGUUGCAUAGAAUGCGGAAAAGUUUCUAAAAUGGGACAAGCGUUCCAAACAUAAAAUUAUUAACAUGUGUAUUCUGUCGAAAGACUAUACAAGAUAAUAAAUAACUACCCGAGAGACCGUAAAGUUUUUCUAUUUCGGAUGAUCUUAAAGAUGUAUCUUUUGAAAAGAAGUGAAGCGAGAGAGCCGAUUAUUGCCGAUUUCGUUCACACAUAGCUACAAAGUGAGGACGAAGACGAAGAGAACAAGAAGAACGAGAAUCGCGAGGCGGUAUGUGGUAGGAGAAUGAAGUUCCACAUUUCAGCGGCAGUCAACAUGGUGGCCGUGACGAGGACGAUUCUUGCUCCGGCAAGAGAAGCCAAUGGACAACGACGGUCUCGUCCCACCCCAUAAUGCCCCAUAUACUUGGCAAUUUAUGCGCCGAAACGUAUUAAAUAGCUUUCUGCCCCCACUAUAAUGCGCGAUCCUCUCGACGGCGCGCAGGCGUCCCCAUAGCUACGGCGCGGUAUAACUAUAUAUUAAAGCCAAUAUUUUUAAAUGCGAUACACCUACAUUGUAAAUACCGGUGUUUUGUACGACCCUUUCUAAGAAUAGACCCACUUGCGACAUUCGGCCGCGCUGAGAACCGCGCGGAGGCGAUCAUACGCGCUAUAUGGCGGGAAAGAGGAUUUUAGUCUUUGUUUUGUCGAAAGCUUCGAGCUUCGUGAUGUCUUAAGACCUGGCGAAGACAGCUAAGAAUGUUGCGAGGUGUAUUUUAGGGAAGCAUAAACGGCUAAUCGAUAAACCGAGUAAUGAUCGCGCUCUCGACCGUAAAUCCCGGAUAAUAUACAUGCAAAUGCCGUGCAAUAUGGGAAUUUAAAGGGCUAACCAAUUCUUCUUUUCAUUAAACCUUCCGUCUCACGCCAAUCACGCAAAGGCAGGUGUCAACGAAAAUUCAUUAAAUUCUUUAUCUUCGUUACGCUUCACCCGGAGGCAUAUUUUUCUAUUUAAUUAGUCAACGUCAGCGAGACAAAUUUAUUUCCUAUUUAUAAAGUUAUCAAAUAAACGACAUCGUAAUUUAUACUUUA